rnacentral:rRNA from 1 species
UACGAAGGGGGCUAGCGUUGCUCGGAAUCACUGGGCGUAAAGCGCACGUAGGCGGUUUGCUAAGUCAGGGGUGAAAUCCUGGAGCUCAACUCCAGAACUGCCUUUGAUACUGGCGAUCUCGAGUCCGGGAGAGGUGAGUGGAACUGCGAGUGUAGAGGUGAAAUUCGUAGAUAUUCGCAAGAACACCAGUGGCGAAGGCGGCCCACUGGCCCGGUACUGACGCUGAGGUGCAAAAGCGUGGGGAGCAAACAGG